AGAGUUUGAUCCUGGCUCAGAUCGAACGCUGGCGGCGUGGCUAAAACAUGCAAGUCGAACGCGAAAGUUUCCUUCGGGAAACGAUUAGAGUGGCGAAAGGGCGAGGAAUACAUAGGUAACGUACCUUAGACUCAGGGAUAGCUACGGGAAACUGUAGAUAAUACCUGAUGAGACCGUGGUGUCAUAUGGCACAGCGGUCAAAGGCGGGGAUCCUUCGGGACCUGUCGGUCUUUGAGCGGCCUAUGUCUCAUCAGCUUGUUGGUAGGGUAACGGCCUACCAAGGCAUCGACGAGUACCGGGGCUGAGAGGUCGGCCCGGCGCAUUGGGACUGAGACACUGCCCAGACUCCUACGGGAGGCUGCAGUAACGAAUAUUCGGCAAUGGGCGAAAGCCUGACCGAGCGACGCCGCGUGCAGGACGACGCUCUUCGGAGUGUAAACUGCUGUCAGGGACUACCAAGUAAAUACGGCUAAUAUCCGUACGCGCUGAGGAAUCCCAGAGGAAGUCACGGCUAACUUCGUGCCAGCAGCCGCGGUAAGACGAAGGUGGCAAGCGUUGUUCGGAAUCACUGGGCUUAAAGAGCAUGUAGGCGGUCUAUCAAGCGUCUUGUGAAAUCCCUCGGCUUAACCGAGGAACUGCUUGGCGAACUGAUAGACUUGAGGCAGGUAGGGGCGUGUGGAACUCUUGGUGGAGCGGUGGAAUGCGUAGAUAUCAAGAGGAACGCCAGAGGCGAAAGCGAUGCGCUGGGCCUGUCCUGACGCUGAGAUGCGAAAGCUAGGGUAGCGAACGGGAUUAGAUACCCCGGUAGUCCUAGCCCUAAACGAUGUCCACUAGGUUGAUGGUUCUCUGACGGAGCAUUGGCCGCAGCGAAAGCGUUAAGUGGACCGCCUGGGGAGUACGGUCGCAAGGCUAAAACUCAAAGGAAUUGACGGGGGCUCACACAAGCGGUGGAGCAUGUUGCUUAAUUCGAUACAACGCGAAGAACCUUAUCCUGGGCUUGACAUGUUUGGAUGCCUACUGGGAAACCAGGUCGGCUGCUCUUCGGAAUGAAACUUACACAGGUGCUGCAUGGCUGUCGUCAGCUCGUGUCGUGAGAUGUUGGGUUAAGUCCCGUAACGAGCGAAACCCUUGUCGUUAGUUGCCAGCGCGUUAUGGCGGGGACUCUAACGAGACUGCCGGUGUUAAACCGGAGGAAGGUGGGGAUGACGUCAAGUCCUCAUGGCCUUUAUGCCCAGGGCUGCAAACGUGCUACAAUGGCUGGUACAGACCGACGCAAAACCGCGAGGUCAAGCAAAUCGGAAAAAGCCAGCCCCAGUUCGGAUUGGAGUCUGAAACUCGACUCCAUGAAGUUGGAAUCGCUAGUAAUCGCGUAUCAGCGUGACGCGGUGAAUGUGUUCCUGAGCCUUGUACACACCGCCCGUCAAGUCAUGGAAGCUGGGAGCGCCCGAAGUCGGCACGUUUCAGUGCUGCCGAAGGUGAGCUCGGUGACUGGGACUAAGUCGUAACAAGGUA
rnacentral:rRNA from 1 species